GAUGAACGCUGGCGGCGUGCCUAAUACAUGCAAGUCGAGCGAACAGACGAGGAGCUUGCUUCUUUGACGUUAGCGGCGGACGGGUGAGUAACACGUGGAUAACCUACCUAUAAGACUGGGAUAACUUCGGGAAACCGGAGCUAAUACCGGAUAAUAUUUUGAACCGCAUGGUUCGAUAGUGAAAGACGGCCUUGCUGUCACUUAUAGAUGGAUCUGCGCUGUAUUAGCUAGUUGGUGAGGUAACGGCUUACCAAGGCAACGAUGCGUAGCCGACCUGAGAGGGGGAUCGGCCACAUUGGAACGGGGACAGGGUCCAGACUCCUGCGGGAGGCAGCAGUAGGGAAUCUUCCGCAAUGGGCGAAAGCCUGACGGAGCAAGGCCGCGUGAGUGAUGAAGGUCUUCGGAUCGGAAAACUCUGUUAUUAGGGAAGAACAUAUGUGUAAGUAACUGUGCACAUCUUGACGGUACCUAAUCAGAAAGCCACGGCUAACUACGUG
rnacentral:rRNA from 1 species